UACGAAAGGGGCUAGCGUUGUUCGGAAUUACUGGGCGUAAAGCGCACGUAGGCGGCCUUGUAAGAUGGGGGUGAAAUCCCCGGGCUCAACCCGGGAACUGCCUUCAUGACUGCAAAGCUAGAGGAUGCGAGAGGUUAGCGGAAUUCCGAGUGUAGAGGUGAAAUUCGUAGAGAUUCGGAAGAACACCAGUGGCGAAGGCGGCUAACUGGCGCAUUUCUGACGAUGAGGUGCGAAAGAGUGGGGAGCAAACAGG
rnacentral:rRNA from 1 species